CCAUGGACUCCCUGAAAUAGCAUGAAAACUCCCUCUUUUCGAGCUUAGGCGCGGAACUGGGCACUAGCCCACUAGCUGGGCUCCAGCGCGGAGCAGGACGGGCGAAGACACUGCUUUCACGCAAUUCACUUUCUAACGAUGGGGGCAGAUUACUAGGAAACAAGGUUAAUUUCUCAUAGUGACCUGUAUUAUGAGGGCAGCAAAACGCUAAGGAGGUAGAAAGCGAUGGAUGGGGUAUGGGACAGAGGUGAGAAGGAGCCAACAACACAAUGGACGGAUCGGGCAGGCGGACAGGUUGUCAGUUCCAUGAGGAUGAAGCCAUUGUUUUCCCAGGGCCCGGUGCUAGCCCCGGACACAGCAAGUGCUUGAAUAUGUAUUGAAUGUGUGAAGUUGGAAGACAAGCUUAAAUCCUCGGUUGGGCAUGUGAACCUCUCUGGGCCUCAUUUUCUUCUCUGUUUAUAAAACAGUGAAGAUAAUACCCCUUCACUGGACUGCUUGGGGCUCCCUGUGCAGGGAGGGAGAGCCAGCUCCGCCCCCUGCAGGCGGGUCAUUCACCUCCAGAUCUGAAUGCCGUCUUUGUUUCUCGAGGGGUUAGUUGGGUGGAGGGUGCCAAAAGAUUGAAUGAUUUAUCAGUGGUAUCAGUGGUAUGCAAAACUCAAUUGCUCUGCACACACCCCAAGUAGUGCCUCCCGCCCCCACUCCUGGUCUGCCAGAAAAGCAGUACUGGGGCCAUUCUCCUUCCCCAUUUCACUCCUUACCAAGAUCUACUUCCCCGAAAUGAAUGGCAAAAACCUUUAGGUGAGGAACGAUACCGUUAUCGGUUGGCGACCUGAACAAUCUUUCGGCUUCAAAUUUGCCCUGACCUUCCAUCCUGCAGCUGGCUUGUAUCAUAAUGUAGUUCAUGAUAUAAACAAGUCACUGGGGCUCAACAGGCAUGUAGUGCAAAUGGCUUUACGUUCAUUUUGGCCUCUGAGCAAAUGCCUUUAAUUUUUGUACGUGAUACGAAACUCCUGACCUAAAGACUGGGCUAAGGACCAACAAUUUCUGUCUUCUAGAAUUUCUAAACAACAUACCACCCUUUAUCUUAAUGUAGUGCUUUUAGCUUUUCAAAGCAUGUUAACUCCUACAUCUUGAUAUUCCCAAGACCAUGCUGGAAGGUUGCUAGGACAUGCACUUUCCUCCGGGCUCUGCCUUUUACUAGCUAUGUGACCUUGAGGAAGUUGUGUACCAUUUCUUUUUCUUUUUUAAAUUUAUUUUGAGAGAGACAGAGACAGCGCGAGUUGGGGAGGGACAGAGAGAGAAUCCCAAGCAAGCUCCCCACUCUCAGCACAGAGCCCAACGCAGAGUUCAAACCCAGGAACUGUGAGAUCAUGACCUGAACCGAAACCAAGAGUCGGACGCUUAACCGACUGAGCCACCCAGGCGCCCCAGUGUGUACCAUUUCUGUGCCUCAGUUUCCUCAUAGGUAAAAUGGAAGGGAUAAAGCCCUCACUUCAUGGCGUUAUAGUGUGAGGACUAAAUGAGUUACCUCACUUAGAGGUAACUUAGCAUUAAGAACAGCGCCUGGACCAUUGGCAAUGCUCAAUGAACGUUAAGUAUAACCAUUACUAGAACUCCUGUUGUAUCCUGGGUGCCAGCCAGGAAUUGUUUUAGAAUAAAGCUCAGCUUCCUAAAUUA